AUCCAGCUGACGAGUCUCAAAUAGAAGGAAACGCGCUUGCUGGGU
rnacentral:hammerhead_ribozyme from 1 species